AAAGAAGCGUAGAAAAGGAAGAGUAGGAGCAAAGGCGACGCGCAGAGAGCCAUCCCCCUGUGCUGAAAGGAUGGACGUCAGCUUGCUGUGAAAAUCACCUUGGAGCUGUGUUCUUGAAAGUUUCGCGGAUGCGAUUCGAGUAAAGGACAACGGAAGCCGCCACCGUUAUCCGGCGGAGUCUCUAGAUUUCACCGGAGACUCUCAAAGUCUGUUUUUCGCAAGGAAACAGAGAAGCUGAGUGGUACCGCGAUGCCCUCGCCUCAGCC
rnacentral:ncRNA from 1 species